AUUGAACGCUGGCGGCAUGCCUUACACAUGCAAGUCGAACGGUAACAGGUUAAGCUGACGAGUGGCGAACGGGGGAGUAAUGUAUCGGAACGUGCCCAGUCGUGGGUGAUAAUUGCUCGAAAGAGCAGCUAAUACCGCAUACGACCUGAGGGUGAAAGCGGGGGAUCGCAAGACCUCGCGCGAUUGGAGCGGCCGAUACCAUAGUAGGUAGUUGGUGCGGUAAAGGCUCACCAAGCCGACGAUCUGUAGCUGGUCUGAGAGGACGACCAGCCACACUGGGACUGAGACACGGCCCAGACUCCUACGGGAGGCAGCGGUUGGGAAUUUUGGACCAUGUGCGCAAGCCUGAUCCAGCCAUGCCGCGUGCGGGAAGAAGGCCUUCGGGUUGUAAACCGCUUUUGUCAGGGAAGAAAAGGUUCUGGCUAAUACCUGGGACUCAUGACGGUACCUGAAGAAUAAGCACCGGCUAACUACGUG
rnacentral:rRNA from 1 species